CCGCAUAUGUGCUUGCAUGCUGCAUAUGCAUCAUGCAGUGAUGGAAAAUAAGUCAGAUAGUUUCUCAGAUCCAGCUAGAUAUUUUCAGCAGAUAUUUCCUUAGAUUAUUCCAGAAUUUCUCAAUCAAAUUUUCAAGUCAUCCUAAGAUUCAUUUAGCCUUUCCGGAGUCUGUUUUUAUUAGGCUGCAUUUAUUAGUUACGAGUCUAGUUCCAAGGUCAUUUAUUAGUCAAAAGUCUGGUCCAAGGGUCUAUAACUAUCCCAAAACUUGUAAGUCUAUAUAAGGUCCAUUGUAUGCAUUUUCAGAUCAGUCAAAAAAUAUUUUAGAGUCUGAAAUUAUCUGAUACCUUUUCUAGAGUUGUUUACUAAAUUUUCUGGAUUUGAUCUUAUCUAAGUUCUAUCCAAGGAGGUGGACUCCUCCCACACUCCAUCCCCCUUCAAAUUCUCACCCAUGUCCCCUUUAUUUUCUGUUAAUUAAACCCUGGGCUGCAUUAGUUUGGUAUCAGAGCAAGGUUGCCAUCAGUAAUUGUGCUCUAAUGGCCACUAGAAGUGGAACGGAAUACUGCAGGAAGCUCACGGAUCACCAAAGAGAUGAUUCACUUUUACAGAUUGCUUAACAACUCCAAGAUCUCUUUGCUUGUGUGACUAACCUGGAGAUAGAAAGGGCAACAGCUCCAGAAAACCCAAGACCUGAGGCUGACAAUGAAAAUCAUGAAGAUGUUUAAGAGGUAGAAGCUGGCGAUGCAGGCGCACCAAGAAGAAUUAUGCAUCAACAUCCAGUCCAACAUAAUCAACCUCAGCCUGUUGUUGAGAGGGGGCUGGCCGGGAACUAUCGACAGAUAUUCCAGCAACACAGGGCCUAUGAUGACAUUACCAAGAAGGUUAAGAUUGAUGUUCCGGAUUUUUUGAGGAAGCUUGACCCUCAUUCCUUCACUGAUUGGACAACGACAAUGGAAGACUAUUUUAAUUGGUACGAGAUGUCUGAAGAUCGAAAGGUUAGAUUUGUGAAAUGAAACUAAAGGGGCAACCACGUAUGUGGUGGUGUAGCACUGAAAAGCGGCUCAAUAGACUUGGGCAGCCUCCUAUAAUUCAUUGGGAGGAAAUGAAGCUCAAGUUACCAGAGAAGUAUCUUCCUCUUGGUUAUGAGGACUCAAUUUAUGAUGAAUUAUUGCAGUCACGGCAAGGAGCAAUGAUAGUCGAAGAAUACACGGAGAAGUUCAAUGACUUAUCAUUCAGUGCCAUGUUGAUGAAGAUGACCAUCAACUUUUGUCUCGAUAUAAGAUGAGAUUACCUGCCAAAAUUAAGCAGGAGUUAACGACGGUGCGCCUCUUUAGUGUGGAUGAAACUGAUCAAAUGGCUCUUAAAAUUGAAGAACAGUUAAGGCAGACACACAAGAAGUUCUGUACCUCAAUUAGGGGACCUUGUUGCCAGGAAUUAGGAACUCAACAGACUGCAGUUAAAAGCAAAUUUUAGCAAAAGUCUUCCUGGAACUUCAGAUUUUGCAUGAAGAAUUGUUGCAGAAACUUCCAGCAAACAGGAGAGACAAAUUGAGUGUUAUAAGUGUGGAGAAAGGGCCAUUUUGCAAAAUUGUGUCCAAGCAAGAAUCUGACUUUCUGUGGAGAGGAAGAGGCUGCUGACAUUCAAGAAGAAAAUGAUACGGUGCAAGCCCUUGAAGAACAAGAAGAUGAUAUCGAUGAAGUUGCAGGAGUAAAACAAGUGUCAAUGAUGAUGUGGCAACUCUUAAUAGCACCAAAAGAAGCAUGUGAAGACCAUUGGCUUUGCGCCAGUAUAUUUCACACCAAUGUUGAACGUAGCGAUCAAGUUGUGAAGCUCAUCAUUGAUGGAGAUAGCUGCACAAAUAUUGUUUCACAAGCACUUGUUGACAAACUCAAGCUAAAGCCCUGACAACACCCGGAACCCCACAAAGUUGCUUGGAUCAAUGAUACCUCUCUUCUAGUUAUAAAGCAAUGCUUGGUAACAUUUUCAACUGGAGAUCGAUAUAAAAAAAACAGUAUGGUGUGAUGUCAUUCCAAUGUAGGUUGCUCAUAUUCUGUUAGGAAGGCCAUGGCAAUAUGACAGGAAAAUACUACAUGAUGGGGAAGCGAAUAUUGACACCUUGUACCAGUGGAGGAAGAUCAGGUUGAUGCCCAUGAAAGAUGAAGAGUCCAAGGUGAAGCAAUUAGCCGAAAAGAAAGAAGUAAAGGCGUUAUCCAUAAAGAGGUUCGAAGGAGAGAGCAAGAAGGAAGAUCUUACCUAUGCAUUGGUUGUAAUGGAGAAACAGGAGAGCAAUCAACAUCAACUACCUAAUUCAGAUUUUGAUAUUCAGCAAAUAUUAUCAGAAUUUGUUGACUUAAUUCCUGAGGAGUUGCCAAAAGGACUUCCCCCGAUGCGUGAAAUUCAACAUGCAAAUUGAUCUUGUACCUGGAGCUUCACUUCCAAACUUGCCGACCUAUCGAAUGAGCCCAACUGGACAUGAAGAAUUAAGAAGGCAAGUUGAAGAUCUUCUUUCUAAAGGUUUCAUCAGAGAAAACCUCAACCCCUGUGCUGUUCCAGCAUUAUUGAUGCCAAAGAAAGAUGGAUCUUGGAGGAUGUGCAUCAAUAGUCGAGCCAUAAAUAAAAUAACCAUCAAGUACCAGCUUCCUAUACCUAGACUUGAUGAUAUGCUUGACUUAAUGGCUGGAGCAAAGGUGUUUUCAAAAAUUGACCUCAGGAGUGGUUAUCAUCAAAUCAGAAUUCAUCCAGGUGACGAAUGAAAAAUAGCUUUCAAGACAAAAGAUGGUCUCUAUGAAUGGUUGGUGAUGCCAUUUGGGAUUACAAAUGCACCAAGCACCUUCAUGAGGAUAAUGACACAUCUCCUACGGCCCUAUACCGGAAUAUUUGUGGCAAUAUACUUCAAUGAUAUACUGAUUUACACCAGCAACAGAGAGCAACACCUGACUCACCUUAAAAAGGUUUUGAUGACUUUACGGGUGGAGAAUUUCUAUAUCAAUUUGAAGAAGUGUGCAUCCUUAACUGAUUGUGUCAGUUUCUUGAGAUUUAUUAUUUCUUCUGAAGGCAAUAAGGCCGAUCCUGAAAAGGUGAAGGCUAUUCUUGAUUGGCCUACACCAACCAGAUUAAGUGAAGUAAGAAGCUUUGAUGGAUUAGCCACUUUUUAUCGGUGUUUCAUUCGCAAUCUUAGCUCCAUCAUGGCACCAAUUACAGAAUGCCUAAAGAAAGGAAAUUUUGUGUGGAUGAGGGCAGUUGAUCAGGCUUUUCAAGAAAUAAAGAUGAAGAUGAUAGAAACAUGUCUUAAAAAGUCCAGAUUUAGAUAAGGUGUUCGAGCUCACUUGUGAUGCAUCACAUUUAGGCAUUGGUGCAGUCCUUAGCCAACAAGGGCAUCCUAUUGCUUAUCAUAGUGAGGAACUCAAUGAAGCAAAGAAGAAAUACUUGACUUAUGACCUUGAGUUCUAUGCUAUAGUCCAAGCUGUCAAGCAUUGGAAGCAUCAUUUAUCUUACAAGGAAUUCAUCUUAUAUUCCGGCCAUGAGGCAUUGAAGUAUCUUAAUUCCCAGAGGCACCUAAGCUCCAAGCAUGCCAAGUGGGGUGCUUAUUUGCAACAAUUUUUCUACGUGAUCGGACAUUAUUCAGGUGCUGAAAAUAAGGCAGCAGAUGCUCUCAGUCAGAAGGCAACCGUGCUGGCUGUUAUGUCUAUCAAAGAGGCUAGUUUUGAAGAGUUAGAAAAUAAGUAUGCAAGUGAUCCCUAUUUUGGGACAAUUUAUACAGAUUUGCAGCAAAACGUGGCUGUUACUCAUCCUCAUUUUAGUUUGAGGAACGGUUCUCUUUUCUAUGGUAACUGAUUAUGCUUGCCAAAUACUUCAACUCAUGAUUUUGUCGUUUGGGAGUUACAUUCAGGAGGACUAGCUGGACACUAUGGACAUGACAAGACAACAUCCUUGGUGGAGGAUAGAUUCUAUCGGCCACGGCUAAGGUGUGAUGUUGAAAAGAUUAUUCGGCAAUGACGUGUUUGUCAAGUUUCAAAGGAUCACAAGCAGAAUUCAAGGCUCUAUACACCUCUUCCAGUGCCUCAAGUACCAUGGGAAGAUUUAUAUAUGAAUUUUGUUUUAGGGCUUCCUAAAACAACUAGAGGGUACAACUCAAUCUUUGUCGUGGUACAUAGAUUUUCAAAAAUGGCCCAUUUUAUUCCCUGUUGGAAGGCAUCAAAUGCAUCAAAAAUUGCCCAAAUCUUCUUCUACGAAGUAGUGAGGUUACAUGGUCUUCCUAAAUCCUAAGACCAUAGUUUCUGAUGGAUAUGCUAAAUUUGUAAGCUACUUCUGGAAAUCCUAUGGAAACUUAUGGGUACACAACUGAAGUUUUUUAAUGCCUACCAUCCACAAACUGAUGAUCAAACGGAGGUCAUCAAUCGCAGUUUGGGCAAUCUUUUGCGCUGUCUUGUGGGGCAAAAUAUGAAAUCAUGGGAUCUGAUCUUGCCAACAGCAGAAUUUGCUUACAAUAGUAGUGUUAACAGAAGUACAGGAUGGUCUCCUUUCGAGAUUGUCACAGGUUUAAAGCCACGGCAACCUAUCAACCUUGUUCCAUUACCUAUUGAAGGCCGGACCAGUCAAGAAGCUGAGGAUUUUGGUAAGCAUAUCCAUGAGAUUCAUGAAGAAGUGAGGAAGAAAAUUGCUGCCAGUAAUGAGCAAUACAAGUCUGAUGCAGACAAGCACAGAAGAUUUGUAGAGUUUCAAGUAGGAGAUAAAGUGCUUGUUCGCCUGAGGCCAAAAUACUUUCUAAAGGGGGCAUUCCAAAAGCUUCAUUUAAGAAAAGCAGGCACUUUCAAAGUGCUAAAGCGACUUGCAGGAAAUGCUCAUUUACUUGAACUGCCCGAGGAGCUUACUAUCAGUCCAAUUUUUAAUGUUGAGGAUCUUAGUCCUUGUUAUGGCGAUAAUGAGGAAGCUCCAUCAGUUAUUUCAACUCCGAGACUUCCAGAGGUGCCAAAGAACAUGGAUGUCAUUGAAGAUGUUCUUAAUAAACAGAUUGUCUCCACCAAAAAUGGGAGAUACAAGAAGUUUCUUAUCAAAUGGAAAGGAAAGCCAAUUUCUAAGAGUACUUGGAUUAUUGCUUCAGAUUUUCAGUGCUGUGACCCAGAACUUUUUGAUCGAUAUCAACCUUUUCACUAGUCGGAGACGAGUUCUUUCCAACAGAGGGAGGAUUGAUGGAAAAUAAGUCAGAUAGUUUCUUAGAUUCAGCUAGAUAUUUUCAGCAGAUAUUUCCUUAGAUUAUUCUAGAAUUUCUCAGUCAAAUUUUCAGGUUAUCCUAAGAGUCAUUUAGUCUUUCCAGAGUGUUUUUAUUAGGAUGCAUUUAUUAGUUAAGAGUCUAGUCCCAAGGUCAUUUAUUGGUCAAAAGUCUGGUCUGAAGGUCUGUAACUAUCCUGAAACUUCUAAGAGUCUAUAUAAGGUCCAUCGUAUGCAUUUUCAGAUAGUGAAAAAAUAUUUACAGAGUCUGAAAUAAACUGGUACUUUUUCCAGAGUCGUUUACUAAGUUUUCUGGAUUUGAUCUUAUCUAAGGUCUAUCCAAGGAGGUGGACUCCUCCC
rnacentral:lncRNA from 1 species